rnacentral:rRNA from 1 species
CUACGGGAGGCAGCAGUGGGGAAUAUUGCGCAAUGGGCGAAAGCCUGACGCAGCAACGCCGCGUGGGGGAUGAAGGUUUUCGGAUUGUAAACCCCUUUCGAUCGGAACGAAUCUCCUCGUGGUAAACAAUCACGAGGAUCGACGGUACCGAGAGAAGAAGCCACGGCUAACUCUGUGCCAGCAGCCGCGGUAAGACAGAGGUGGCUAGCGUUGUUCGGAUUUAUUGGGCGUAAAGCGAACGCAGGUGGUUUGGUAAGUCAGGGGUGAAAGUCCGCAGCUUAACUGCGGCACUGCCUCUGAUACUGCCUUUCUUGAGUGCAUGAGGGGGAAGCGGAAUUCCGAGUGUAGAGGUGAAAUUCGUAGAUAUUCGGAGGAACACCGGUGGCGAAGGCGGCUUCCUGGCAUGUAACUGACACUCAUGUUCGAAAGCGUGGGUAGCAAACAGGAUUAGAUACCCUGGUAGU